rnacentral:rRNA from 1 species
AGUGAACGCUGGCGGUAGGCCUAACACAUGCAAGUCGAACGGCAGCACAGUAAGAGCUUGCUCUUACGGGUGGCGAGUGGCGGACGGGUGAGGAAUACAUCGGAAUCUACUUUUUCGUGGGGGAUAACGUAGGGAAACUUACGCUAAUACCGCAUACGACCUACGGGUGAAAGCAGGGGAUCUUCGGACCUUGCGCGACUGAAUGAGCCGAUGUCGGAUUAGCUAGUUGGCGGGGUAAAGGCCCACCAAAGCGACGAUCCGUAGCUGGUCUGAGAGGAUGAUCAGCCACACUGGAACUGAGACACGGUCCAGACUCCUACGGGAGGCAGCAGUGGGGAAUAUUGGACAAUGGGCGCAAGCCUGAUCCAGCCAUACCGCGUGGGUGAAGAAGGCCUUCGGGUUGUAAAGCCCUUUUGUUGGGAAAGAAAAGCAGCAGGUUAAUACCCCGCUGUUCUGACGGUACCCAAAGAAUAAGCACCGGCUAACUUCGUG